CAAGUGAGAGCUUUGGAAAUAAAAAAAAAAGAGUUAGGGAGAAAUUUUUAGUUGCAAGAAGAGUAGAAGUUCUGAAGGGUUUCGGGGAAACAGAUUCGGAGCAGGAAAUUAAGUCUGGAAUAGAGGUGUUAUUACAGAUGCGAUGGCUGACGCUUUUGAACAUGCAUAAAGGUCGAAAGAGAGAUGGGAUAGAAGACUUGGGAUUGUGAUUUUAGUGUUUUAAAAAUUUAUUUCGAUCCUGACUAUGUGGACAUUUUAUUUUCGAAAGAAUCGAUUGUAAUAAAUAAUGUACUAUUUUCUGUCUAUGUUGAAGUUUAAAAUUUCAAAAUUUCUACAUUUAUUUUUUUACGAAAAAAUUUAGUCCAUGUAGCGCCAAACAUUCGGGGUGUUACACAACACCUAUCUUUACG
rnacentral:sRNA from 1 species